rnacentral:rRNA from 1 species
UACAGAGGUCUCAAGCGUUGUUCGGAAUUACUGGGCGUAAAGGGUGCGCAGGCCGCGCGGGCAGUCAAAUGUGUAAUUCAGGGGCUUAACCCCUGCACUGCGCUUGAUACUCCGCGCUCGAGCUUUGGAGAGGAGUCUGGAAUUCUCGGUGUAGCAGUGAAAUGCGUAGAGAUCGAUAAGGAAGACCGUGGCGAAGGCGAGUUCUGGACGGAACUGACGCUGAGGCAC